rnacentral:lncRNA from 1 species
AGGCGGCAGCCAUGGCGGCGGCGGUUUCACCGGCAAGAUCCGACCCGGGGUUACUCGGAUCAAUCUUGUAAGCCCUCCUGUCAGUAGUCAUAUCCUCCGGCCUUUGCCAGCAGUUAUGGUCAGUGUUUCCAUCUCCCACCUAACCACGUACGCAAUUAAUUACUUGCAAACAUUUACCACGUUAUAAAAGUAAUCAUAUUUUAUUAGCUUUAACAUAUCCCUGUCACUGUUUUAUACGUUAACACGAAACUGAUGCUCACGCUAAAAGUGAAGGUUUUUUACUACGACGAAUUCUGUAAAAAGGGCAAAAAAAACAGAGCAAAUAUGGUACCUCUCCAUAGAGGACAUUAGGCUGAGGGUGAGCUUUAAUGAAGUAAUCAGUGCCCCACUUAAUAGCAUUCAUGGCAUGGCCAAGCUCUCCACUUGCAGCCAUCUGCUUUCCAUAUUCAAUUAUGCUCCAAGACAUCAUUGUCACGGUGAAUGCCAUUGGCAAUCCAAAUUUCACAUUGUCCCCUGCAUCAUAGUAUCCUCCUACAAGAUCCGCCUUAAAAAACAACACAGAAAAAUCUCAAUAUCAUGCUUUUUCAUUUAAUUAAAAUUACAAAAAAAAAGCAAAAGAGAAAAAAAAAAUUGUUUCAUUUAUUUAUUUUUUUUUUUAAAAGAACAAGUAUAAGGGCUUACCCCACUGGCUUUGCCAUCGUUAAGGCCAGAGUUAGCUCUCCAAGUGACUCUUUGGUUAUGAGGGAGGUAGCCAGAUCUUUGAGCUUCAAAGAAGAGAAUGCUCUUAGACAAAGCUUGGCCGUAGUCAUGGCCGGCCAAAGCAAGUGGAAGGCAAAGAAGCGGAAGCAGAGGAGUCAUAAACUUCUCCAUGUGAUAAGUCAAAACUCAAUUGCAGCUUGUUGAUGAGUGUAUUAACAGAAAGUGAGAUCUGUUUCGCUAUUUUGAGUUUACAGAAUGGGAUUUUUUUGCAUUUUCCACGAGUUUUGGACAAUGCUGGUAUAAUGUAUCUGUUCAAAGUUUCUGAGAAAGAAACCAGAAACAGAACAACACUCUUUAAAAGAGAAAGAGAAGCAGAAAGAAAAAGAGAGAGAGCAGUGUGGGAUUGAGAGUCGGGAGAGGAGCACAAGCCUCUGCUCUAUAUAUGGAGAAAGAAAGGAAGGUCUCAAGAGACCAGAAACAGGCAGGGAUCAAUUAAUGAUUUUAUUUUAUUAUUUUUCAUUUAUUUUAAUUUUUUAAUAUUUUUUUACAAUUUUGGAGGAUUGAAAACGGUUGGGAAAAGAACAGAAUCAUGUGGGCGUCGCUGGCCUCUUACUGGGAGGGUCGGUGUGGAUUUAAUGUAACCAAAGAAAAUAAUAUUACUGCUGCCCCAGUUUGGCUUUAAAAGAUUAAGUAUAAAAAAAAAUAGUUUUUAUUUUAUUUAUUUUUGCAGGUUUAAUGAAAAGACUGAGGAUUAACAAUUACCAUAACUAGAAAGGAGAAAGUGAGGAGCAGUAGAAGAAGAGUCAAAAAGUUCAGACACCUUGUCCCCACUUUAACUUCUCCAUAAUGCCCCUUGAUACCACGUGUCAUCCGCUACAAACUCUGCAGUUAAGAGUAUCAUUUAGCCUGUGACGUGGGAACCAGUUAUUGGCUUCUAACAGGUAACAAAGUUCAAAGUUUUAAAAACCUUAGUUGAUUCGAAAGCAAAACAUAAGCGUGCCACACCCCCUUUUACAAAUUACAACUCUGAUGUCUACUGCUCUUUUUUUUUUUCUUUCCAAUCUAGAUGAAU